GCGUUUUUGUGGCUCGUCCUGUGUCAACUUGUUCAUUUUCUCCUUUCAAGAUGACGACGUCUCGGGAGAGAAUGUGCCGCUCGGAAAUGCAGGACAGAUGCCAGGGAAGUCCAGAACACAUUGACAUGUCUGUGUUGUUUGAAACAUGACUUUGUGACUUCAAGGCAUCUGAACAGAAUCUCCUCCACUUCGAGUUCCAUUCCGGAAUAGGAAUGCGUGUGCUGGAUACCUGAUUCCAGACCAUGACACUGAUGUGCUUUCUGAAAAUUCAGACAUGGGGUGAGGGAUUAACACUACCUUCACUGGGUUUGCGCUCUGUGGUCAGUGGAAUUGCAACAUGGACUCAAACACACUGGUUUCCUCUGUAUGUGGCUGGGCAGGGAGCCGUGAUGGCAGCUAGACAGGUGAGUUUUGGUUAAUAUGAGGACGUUCAGUGACUGACUAGAGAUGCGAUGUCAUGGGAAAUGAAUCUUAACCAGAGCCUUAGCCACGAGCUAUUACCACCAGCCUAGUGUUAAAACUCACUGCAAACAAGUGUUGACGUUUGGUAGUCAUGGUGACUCUGGCUCCUGGUGAUGACACCCGCACGCGUCUUACGCCCUGCGUCAACGACAGAACCUGCAAAGGUGGACCCACUGGCGUUGCCAGGGCAACAAGGGGACGGCUCGUUGGGGUUACCAACUGUCUGAUGG